UGGUGCGGUGGUUUAAGUGGUAGAACAACCAACAUGUAAUCGGAAGAUCCAGGUUCGAUUCCCGGCUCGGUAA
rnacentral:tRNA from 1 species